UGGCACCCCGGUGCUCGAGUGGACUGGAAGGCUGAAUGAAAUUUCUCAAAGCGAGCAUCAGACUUAUAUUACAGAAGAAAACAAAGAAGUCAGGUGACACAUCAGCCAAGAACCUGUUGACUGACUGAGCGGGCUUGGUCACUUGUCACAGACAGAAAUGCAGCUCUUCUCGGAGUGUUCAAUACAGAUCAUGAACCAUCUGCCCUAGCUUCUUCCCAGGUUGCAGAUUUAUCCGAGGAGUUUUGCAAAUUCCGCAGCUCUUGGUCUCUCCACUGAUCACGCACAUCAGGACAAUGGGACGUUUCUCUAAUGGUUAUUUGAAGCAACCCCAUAAAUCAGUGUGUCAAAGACCUAGAAGCAGGACGGGUCCUCUGGAAGCGCUGCUUGAUCUCACACUGGCCCACACUGAUUCCUUACGUGGUUUCAGAGGAUUUGGAUAAAAGGACUCCUGUGGACC
rnacentral:lncRNA from 1 species